AUCUAGACAUUCACAUUUGUUAAUAAAGUUUCCUUCCUUCCUUUCCAACAGGGAUUCCUUUUUUCUUUUUCUUUAUUGCCCUGGCUAGAGCCUCCAGUACAAGGCUUAGUAAAAGUGUUAAGACAUCUUUCUCUUGCUCCUGAUCUUAGGUCUUUCAUCAUUAAGUAUGAUGUUAGGUGUAGCUUUUUCACAGAUACUCUUUAUUGGUUAAGGAAAUUCCCUUCUUUUCCUCUUAGCUGAGUUCUUCUUGUUAAUAGAUGUUGGAUGUCUAAUACUGUUUUGUUGGAUGUCAGAUAUACAUUUUGCCAUUAGGUGCUGCAUAUUUUUGUAUUCCUAUAAAUAUUCUUGACCUUUGUUUUGGAUACUGUGAUUUGAAAAGUUGGAUGUUUUUGAGAUGUGCUUUUAAGGUUUGUUAGGUGGGAUCAGAGUUGUGCUUAGUUCAUGGGAAAUUUUCCCCACAACUCAGGUGAAACCCUCUGAAUACUCUACCUGACACUAUGUGACAUCUCAGGUUUUCCACUUUGGCUGCUGGGAGCAAGAAUUAUUCCUGGACCUCUCUGAGCUCUGAGGAUUGUUCCCUCUAAUUCUUUCAGGUGGUGAUUUUUCCCUGGCUUCAGGUAGUUUCUUCACAUAAAUGUAUUAAUGAGUGUUUAGCUGAACUUACGAGAAAUCGUCUGCAGAUCUCUGGAAAUCUUUGUGCAGUUCUCUCUUCUUUGGUGUUCUGCCCUGUAAACUCUGACCACAUUGGCCUCAUUGGACUCCUCACCCCAUCUCAAGACUAGGAGACCACUGGGCUCUGCCUGGGGUAUCCCUCCCAGCCAUAAGCUGGGCAAUUAUAGGGCUCAUCUCAUUUCUCAUCUCAGGGAUCACUGUCUUUCAUUAAAAGUAAACACUUGAAGAUAGUCAACGUCUUGAAAACCAUUGUUUCACCUAUUUUGUUCAAUGUUUUGGUUAUUUCAAUUGUACAGGUAAGCAGUUGACUGUCUACUCUUUAAUAGUGACUGUUGAUUAACAGAAUUAAUAAAAUUAAUGCAAAUACAUCACACUUUUCCUUUUUGGUUAAAUUUAAAAUGUUUUGUUUAGGAAAUAUACUGUACCCUGAAGUUAUGAAAUAUUCUCAUAUGUUGUGUUCUAAAAGUUUUAUUAUUUUCCCUUUUGUUUUAAGUCAUCAACCCAUCUGGAAAUCAUUUUCAUAUAUUAUUUAUGGGUGCUCAAUUGCAUUCUUAUAUGGAUACUCAAUUGUUCUAGAAAAUUUAUUGAAGAGGUGUUCAUUCUCCAGAGCUCUGCAUUGCCACCUUUAUAACUAAUCAAGUGUCUCUUGAUUAGUGGAUCUAUUUCUGAGAUCCCUGUUUGGUUACAUUGGUCUAUUAAUCCUUAUGUAUCCAUAUUGUAUUACUGUCUAUACAUUUAUGUCUUAAUAUAUGAUAGAAUGUUCUACCACAUUGUUAAUUUUCAGUAGUGUCUUGAUUAUUCAUUACCCUUUGCAUUUCCAUAUAAAUUUAAAAAUCAGCAGUUAAGUUUCAAAAAAUUCCUGUUAUGGUUUUUUUAUUAGGUUUCCUUGGUUCACUGAUCAAUUUUGAGAACUAGUAACUUUACAGUAUUGAUUCUUACAACAUAUUACUGAGGUAUACAGGUCACUUUAUCCAAGUGUUUUUAAUUUUCCCUCAAAAUGCUUUUAUAGGUUUAGACCUGUAUAGAGAUCUUAGACAUCUUUUGAUAUAUUUAUUCUUAUCAGUUAUUUUUAAUGCUAUUGUAAAUUGGUAUUUUUAAACUUUAAUUUUCUUUACUUAAUAGGAGAAUCAAGAGAAUAACCCUACAAUUUUAAAGCAAACACAAGACCUCUUCCACAGGCUUACUCUUACCUUAUUAAACAGCUUCUGCCUUGCUUCUGGACCCUAGGAGAGACCGCCUGGCUGACCAUGGGACAAUACAUGACCAUACAUGUUGAAUUAUUCAUCAUGAACUGGGUGUUAUUUGAUCUUUCAAGACAUCUGGUAGAUGGGUGGUGGAAACCCACAUCAAUUCUUGAAGACCAGAGAAGACAUUAUCAACAACGACAAAUGUAUCAAUGGAGUAAGAGUUCAAGAAGCAUGCACCUCAGGCGUUCAAGGAGAUCCAGAAAUUCACCAUGAAGGAGACAGGAACAGCAGAUAUGCCUACUAACACUAAACUCAACAAGGCGUCUGGGCCAAGGAAAAGGGAAUGUCCCAUACUUGUCUGUAUACGGAUGUCCGGAAACUCUAAAUGUUAUUUUUCUUAGUGUACUUGUCACCUUAAAUAAAAUCUAAUCAGCAUGAAGUAAAA